UACGUAGGGUGCGAGCGUUUGUCCGGAAUUAUUGGGCGUAAAGAGCUCGUAGGCGGUCUGUCGCGUCGAAUGUGAAAACCCGGGGCUCAACUCCGGGCUUGCAUUCGAUACGGGCAGGCUAGAGUUCGGUAGGGGAGGUCUGGAAUUCCUGGUGUAGCGGUGAAAUGCGCAGAUAUCAGGAGGAACACCGGUGGCGAAGGCGGGACUCUGGGCCAUACUGACGCUGAGGAGCGAAAAGCGUGGGGGAGCGAACAGG
rnacentral:rRNA from 1 species